GGAGAAACCAUCGUAUGUUGGGUAUAAUGGAGUUUAGGGACAGAUCCUGCGGAAAAAUUUGGUUCAGAGUGAACCAGAGAUGUCCCCGCAGAAGAUGAUGGAAGGCCCAGGUGGCCUUGAAACUUGGAAUCCUUAGAUGGAUUGGGAAGGAGACCAGCCUGGAGAGAAGGUGUGCACGAACUAGAGAGGACAGCAGAUGUGGAGGAUGGUUCACGAGUCACGGUUGAGAGGUGGGUGACGAGCAGCGUCACGGAAGCUUGUAAUUUGGCAAUAUCUGUGGACAUGGACGAAAAUUCAGUCUUUUGAGCAGCCAUCAAUUUGGUGAACUGAGUUUCCAAAGUGGUGACAUCUGUAGAAAUUUUCGCCUUGAAUUCCUGAAAUUGGUCUGCCAAAUUGGCAACGGUGAUGUUGGGAGCCAUGACGACUAGUAGAGGCAACGAAGCAGAGUAACAGCGGCGGAGCAAAAGGCUCUGAAUACCAAUUGAUGUAGCACAGCCCUGGGUGUGUUAGUUUUAACACUCAGAGCAAUAGGACAGAAAAGAAUAAGAAAAGCUGAAGGAAAGAAAGAUAGAAGGCAGGCAGAAAUCAGAGAGUUAAGAGAAGGUUUAAUCAAUAUUCAAAUCUGAAUUUUAAAGAACUACAUAGGGGUAUUUAUAGCAAACUAAAACCUAGAGACAAUAGGAUUAAAAUCCCCAGCUAAAACAGAAAUCCUAUUCCUAAUAAAAUAGGAAACUUAGAAAUCCUACUAGGAUUUGGAAAACUAAAGAAUAUAGGAAACUAACAAACAAAUUAGGCAACUAAACAAUUUAGGUCCUAUGCAUCCUGCAUCAA
rnacentral:lncRNA from 1 species